UCCUACGGGAGGCAGCAGUGGGGAAUCUUGGACAAUGGGCGCAAGCCUGAUCCAGCCAUGCCGCGUGAGUGAUGAAGGCCCUAGGGUCGUAAAGCUCUUUCGCCUGUGAUGAUAAUGACAGUAGCAGGUAAAGAAACCCCGGCUAACUCCGUGCCAGCAGCCGCGGUAAUACGGAGGGGGUUAGCGUUGUUCGGAAUUACUGGGCGUAAAGCGCGCGUAGGCGGACUAUUAAGUCAGAGGUGAAAUCCCGGGGCUCAACCCCGGAACUGCCUUUGAUACUGGUAGUCUAGAGUUCGAGAGAGGUGAGUGGAAUUCCGAGUGUAGAGGUGAAAUUCGUAGAUAUUCGGAGGAACACCAGUGGCGAAGGCGGCUCACUGGCUCGAUACUGACGCUGAGGUGCGAAAGUGUGGGGAGCAAACAGGAUUAGAUACCCUGGUAGUCCACACCGUAAACGAUGAAUGCCAGUCGUCGGAUAGCAUGCUAUUCGGUGACACACCUAACGGAUUAAGCA
rnacentral:rRNA from 1 species